AACGAACGCUGGCGGCAUGCCUAACACAUGCAAGUCGAACGAGACCUUCAGGUCUAGUGGCGCCCGGGUGCGUCACGCGAGGGAACCUGACCUUGGGUUCGGCCUAACUCUCCGAAAGGGGUGCUUAUACCGGAUCAUGUCUACGGCCCAAAGAUUUAUCGCCUUUGGUUGGGCCGGCGUUGGAUACGAUAGUUGGUAGGGUAAUAGCAUACUAAGGCGACGAUCCAUAGCUGGUCUGAGAGAAAGAUCAGCCACACUGGGACUAGGACACGGCACAGACUCCUACGGGAGGCAGCAGUGGGGAAUAGUGGACAGUGGGCGAAAGGCUGAUCCAGCAAGGCCGCGUGAGUGAUGAAAGCCUGAGGGUUGUAAAGUGCUAUUAACCGGGAUGAUAAUGACAGUACCGAGAGAAUAAGCCCCGGCUAACUCCGUG
rnacentral:rRNA from 1 species